rnacentral:lncRNA from 1 species
ACUCUGAUGUCAUUCACAUAUUUCCUUUCCUCUGUCAGUUUCUCUCAUUUUUGCUUUUCUGUUAUGGCUGAAAAAUGUGCGUAGAUGCUCUUUCCAAUGUUGACGUGUUAAUAAAAUCAAGACUUCUGAAUGUGGCAUUAUCCUGAUAAUCUAAAACACAUUAGUGGUAGCAAGUGUUCCUGUUAUUAAUUUAUAUUUGGUCUUUGGAUGAUGCCAGCUUAACAGUCCGAGCCCUGUAACUGUCCUCAUUUGACACGCUGGUAUUUACUGCUUCCCUAUACAUCUGUAACAGGUGUGCUUUAUGGCAAUUUACAGAGACACAUUCUACUGCCUCUCUGCAACUAUGACAGCUAUUUCACAACCGCAGCCUUAAUUUUAUAAUAAGAUUUAAAAGGAGAAAGCAGUCACUAAACACAAAAGGCUAAUUAUUGUACGUUAUUUCACCCCAACAGACUUUUCUCUUAGUUAAGGAGCAGACAAUAAAUUAGCUUAACUGCACUGAUGAUAAUGAAUCAUUAUAAUUAAGUAUAAUUCUCCAUUAACCUUUUGGAGGUUUUUGUGCCAUUGAUGGUAAAUUUUAAAGAGAAGGAGAGCAGAAAGAGUGGACUUGGCCACAUUAAUUAUACUAACGAAAAAAGAAUCUUACUUCUUAAAAAAAAUUAGGGGAGAGUGGGGAGCGCAGCGGUCAGUAAAGAGUGACAGUCUUAGUGGAGUGUAUGUCAUCAGAACUGUCUCUAUCAAUCUUAGUAACCUUAUUGGACAUCACCUUCAUUAAACUGCGAAACACUGGGGACUCCGAGUAGCUACAG